GGGUCAGUAGGUUGGUCGUGCCACCGGUACGUACUGGUCUCACUGAUUCCUCCUUCCUGAAGAACCGUAAUGCCAUUAAUUUGGUGUUGCGGGGAAACAGGAUUGUUACUUUGAAAAAAUUAGAGUGUUUAAAGCAAGCUAGCGCUUGAAUACAUUAGCAUGGAAUAAUGAAAUAGGACGAUCGAUCCUAUUUUGUUGGUUUCUAGGAUUGACGUA
rnacentral:rRNA from 1 species